GCUCAGCUGUGCCCCGCCCACACACAGCUCUCUCGCUCAGCUGUGCCCCCCCCACACACACAGCUCUCUCGCUCAGCUGUGCCCCGCCCACACACACAGCUCUCUCGCUCAGCUGUGCCCCGCCCACACACACAGCUCUCUCGCUCAGCUGUGCCCCGCCCACACACACAGCUCUCUCGCUCAGCUGUGCCGGUAAGACUGGUAGCUUUGCUGUAGGGAUUCCUCAAGUACGCCGCAAGUGUUUUUUUCAACACGUUAAAGAGACUUAGAGUUAUUAAAACAAAUCCGUUAGUAGAUGUCACCUGAACUGAUACUGACGAUUCUCAUCGUCAUCGCCGGUAAGUAAAGCUUCUUCAUACAAUAACACAAACGUGGAUAAACGCUAAACAAAAUUAAUGUUUAAAAUCAGGUGCUGCAUGUGGCAAAAAGAUAGAGGCGAAAAAUGGAGAAGACUUUUCCUUCGUUGUCAACACAUCUGAGCCGAGGAAAGUCAUUCUACAAAACGUAGAAAAGAACGUGACCCUAGAUAUCUUCCGCUACUGUUCCGAAGAGGAGCGAAAGCACGGCUGCAAGAUGAAGAGAUCGGGAAGAUGUUCAUCCCAGAUCAGCAAAGAGACCUUCAACAUAACCUGUCUUCAUGCAAACCCGAGCGACGCUGGACAUUACACUGUCCGAGUUACCGAGAAAAAUUGGGACGAAAAUCCUUUUACAUUUUCAUUGAAAGUAAUUGACCCUGGUCCUCCAUCCAUCCAUCCAUUUACCACACCUGCUAUGUCCAGCAAAGCAGAAGAGACAAUCGAGACAGAUGACCUAACCACCGCAAUCAUCAUAGUGGUUGUCUUAUUGUUGGCCAUUGUCGUUAUUUUCGUUAUUGUUGUUAUUGUCGUUAUCUGCUGUAAAAAGGCAAGUGUUAUCAGUGGUAAAUUACACAACACUUUUAUUUUUGUAUUAAUAUUGUAGCACUUGAGAAAUUUUGCUGAGGAAUGAAGUCAUAAUAGAUCAAAAAAAUGUCAUUUAUGUACACUGAAUUCUGCUUGCAUGAUGGUAUGGUACUAAAAAUUGCAUUGCAAUUACAUUGCAAAUUAAGAUUUUAAAUGUCAGAUAUUUCAUCUACCUACAGAAGAAGCGAAAGAAAAAUCACACGGAGGAUCCAGGAGAAAGCGCUGCUCUCAACUUAAACACCAAUGCAGCAGAUAAACCGGACACAGAGGAAUCCUUAGAGAUUGUGGUUGAGACAAACUUUUCCGGGGACAUUAAAGAGAGACCUGAACAGGGUCUGAACAAGGGCUGAAAGCCAUUGAGAUAUCUCAUGCAAGUCACCAUCACAAAAAAGCUCUUCUCCGAGACGAGCAGAAGCUCAGAUGUUCGAGCAGAAACACAACGGUGAAGAUUCCCACCAGACCAGGCAGAACCAGACGAACCAGAGCCUUGGUGACCCCACAGUGAUCCACAGAAUCUGAAAGACAAAAGAGAUCACAGUGAGGUCAAGUGUGUUGUAGUAAUUAGUUUAUGCCAGUUAAGGUACAGCUUGCCUUUUAUUUCAGGGUUUCUGCACCUAUGUGUUUAAAUGACACUUGCAUGAUAGAGAUGGAUCAAGGCUGUAAAUGUUCCUGUACUGUAUUUGCAUGCUUUUGUUUCAAUGGUCUCCACCACUAUGUACCUUUCCCCCUUGAAGCCUAUAUACUCCACUGUGUUAUGUUUUGGUUAGAUUUUUUUUUUUUUUGAGAUUUCUUGAAGACUUCUUGCAGAUGACUAUAGCAACAAAAUAAAAAGACACUCCUGCUUUAC